GGAGUUGUGCCUGAAUUAAAGGGCCACUUUGAUAGAGUGGAUUAUGAGGGUUAAAACCCCUCCAGCUCCU
rnacentral:tRNA from 1 species